AGUAACGCGCGAGUGAGCGGCACAGCUCAAAUUUGAAAGCUGGCCUUCGGGUCCGCAUUGUAAUUUGUAGAGGAUGCUUUGGGGCAGCCGCCUGUCUAAGUUCCUUGGAACAGGACGUCAUAGAGGGUGAGAAUCCCGUAUGUGACAGGACAUGGCACCCUAUGUAAAGCUCCUUCGACGAGUCGAGUUGUUUGGGAAUGCAGCUCUAAAUGGGAGGUAAAUUUCUUCUAAAGCUAAAUACCGGCGAGAGACCGAUAGCGCACAAGUAGAGUGAUCGAAAGAUGAAAAGCACUUUGGAAAGAGAGUUAAAAAGCACGUGAAAUUGUUGAAAGGGAAGCGCUUGCAAUCAGACUUGUUUUGACUGUUCGGCCGGUCUUCUGACCGGUUUACUCAGUCUGGACAGGCCAGCAUCAGUUUUGGCGGCCGGAUAAAGGCUCAGGGAAUGUGGCUCUCACUUCGGUGGGAGUGUUAUAGCCCUGGGUGUAAUACGGCCAGCCGGGACUGAGGUCCGCGCUUCGGCUAGGAUGCUGGCGUAAUGGUUGUAAGCGACC
rnacentral:rRNA from 1 species